UGCCAGCAGCCGCGGUAAUACAUAGGGGUCAAGCGUUGUUCGGAAUUACUGGGCGUAAAGCGCACGUAGGCGGAUUAGAAAGUUAGAGGUGAAAUCCCGGGGCUCAACCCCGGAACUGCCUUUAAAACUACUAGUCUAGAGUUCGAGAGAGGUGAGUGGAAUUCCGAGUGUAGAGGUGAAAUUCGUAGAUAUUCGGAGGAACACCAGUGGCGAAGGCGGCUCACUGGCUCGAUACUGACGCUGAGGUACGAAAGUGUGGGGAGCAAACAGGAUUAGAUA
rnacentral:rRNA from 1 species